CACGUAGGCACCAAGCGUUGUCCGGAUUUAUUGGGCGUAAAGAGCUCGUAGGCGGUUGAGUAAGUCGGGUGUGAAAACUCUGGGCUUAACCCAGAGCCGCCACUCGAUACUGCUCUGACUUGAGUACGGUAGGGGAACAGGGAAUUCCUAGUGUAGCGGUGAAAUGCGCAGAUAUUAGGAGGAACACCGGUGGCGAAGGCGCUGCUCUGGGCCGAAACUGACGCUGAGGAGCGAAAGCGUGGGUAGCAAACAGG
rnacentral:rRNA from 1 species